GACGAACGCUGGCGGCGUGCCUAAUACAUGCAAGUCGGGCGCAGGAAGCUGACGGAACUCUUCGGAGGGAAGGCAGUGGAAUGAGCGGCGGACGGGUGAGUAACACGUAAGGAACCUGCCUCAAGGAUUGGGAUAACUCCGAGAAAUCGGAGCUAAUACCGGAUAGUUCAACGGACCGCAUGGUCCGCUGAUGAAAGGCGCUCCGGCGUCACCUUGAGAUGGCCUUGCGGUGCAUUAGCUAGUUGGUGGGGUAACGGCCCACCAAGGCGACGAUGCAUAGCCGACCUGAGAGGGUGAUCGGCCACACUGGGACUGAGACACGGCCCAGACUCCUACGGGAGGCAGCAGUAGGGAAUCUUCCACAAUGGACGAAAGUCUGAUGGAGCAACGCCGCGUGAGUGAUGAAGGUUUUCGGAUCGUAAAACUCUGUUGUAAGGGAAGAACACGUACGAGAGGGAAUGCUCGUACCUUGACGGUACCUUACGAGAAAGCCACGGCUAACUACGUGCCAGCAGCCGCGGUAACAC
rnacentral:rRNA from 1 species